CUCUUAGCAUCCUCGCGACUAAUGACAAAUCUUGUCCUGCAGAUGGCCAGAUAAGAUUUCUCAUUAGCCGCGCGAAUCGUGCGUAUAAAGAUCACUCACGUUAACAAUACAUGAGUUUUAACAGAAAUACUGCCAGUCGCCCGAAAAAAGGGGCCAUAAAGGCCCCCUUUU
rnacentral:sRNA from 1 species